UUCCUCAAAUCUUCAUCUUCUUCCCUCAAGCUUUAUCCCUCCCUGGUUUUUGUUGCCAUCCACACAGAACCACCUCUGACCAACACCUCUACCCGCCAGCCGUCCACUUUAGUCCAACGCCGCUAGCUCACCGAACCACCAACCCCGUCCCCAUCCGGUGCCUUUAGCCCUGUACGCCCAUCGUCUCACCUCCAUAGUCGUAUGUUGCUGUCGCCAACCAUUCCUGCUCGUACGCGCCGUCCCAGCCGCGACCGCCUCAGCCGUUGCCACUAGCUGCUGUUUUGAUCUCGCCAUCCACCCACUAGCUCCGUUCAAGCUUGAGUCCCUUCAGCUCAGCUCAGAACCGAAACCACCAGUGAAGCUGUGAGCUUGUUGGGCUGGUUUCAACCUCUUCCGGGUCUCCGUUGGAGUCACUGUAAACACGGGAUCUCACUGCUGUCGCGCCAUCGUCGUCAUGAACCCG
rnacentral:lncRNA from 1 species